GAUGAACGCUGGCGGCGUGCCUAAUACAUGCAAGUCGAGCGAACAGACGAGGAGCUUGCUCCUCUGACGUUAGCGGCGGACGGGUGAGUAACACGUGGAUAACCUACCUAUAAGACUGGGAUAACUUCGGGAAACCGGAGCUAAUACCGGAUAAUAUAUUGAACCGCAUGGUUCAAUAGUGAAAGACGGUUUUGCUGUCACUUAUAGAUGGAUCCGCGCCGCAUUAGCUAGUUGGUAAGGUAACGGCUUACCAAGGCAACGAUGCGUAGCCGACCUGAGAGGGUGAUCGGCCACACUGGAACUGAGACACGGUCCAGACUCCUACGGGAGGCAGCAGUAGGGAAUCUUCCGCAAAGGGCGAAAGCCUGACGGAGCAACGCCGCGUGAGUGAUGAAGGUCUUCAGAUCGUAAAACUCUGUUAUUAGGGAAGAACAAAUGUGUAAGUAACUAUGCACGUCUUGACGGUACCUAAUCAGAAAGCCACGGCUAACUACGUG
rnacentral:rRNA from 1 species